rnacentral:rRNA from 1 species
GACGUAGGGGGCCAGCGUUGUUCGGAAUUACUGGGUGUAAAGGGUUCGUAGGCGGUGUGGCAAGUCGGGAGUGAAAUCUCUGGGCUCAACUCAGAGACUGCUUCCGAAACUGCUGUGCUGGAGUGUGGGAGAGGCGCGUGGAAUUGCAGGUGUAGCGGUGAAAUGCGUAGAUAUUUGCAGGAACACCCGUGGCGAAAGCGGCGCGCUGGACCACUACUGACGCUGAGGAACGAAAGCUAGGGGAGCAAACAGG